CAAUCUAACCUAUGGACGAGGAUAACCUCGGGAAACUGAGAAUAAUACUCGAUAGAUCAUAAUGCCUGGAAUGGUUUAUGGUUCAAAUGAAUUUCGCCAUAGGGUGGGACUGCGGUCUAUCAGCUUGUUGGUGAGGUAAUGGCCCACCAAGGCUAUAACAGAUACGGGCUCUGAGAGGAGAAGCCCGGAGAUGGGUACUGAGACACGGACCCUGGCCCUAUGGGGCGCAGCAGGCGAGAAAACUUUGCAAUGUGCGAAAGCACGACAAGGUUAAUCCGAGUGAUUCCUGCUAAAGGAAUCUUUUGUUAGUUGUAACACCACUGAUGAAUAAGGGGUGGGCAAGUUCUGGUGACAGCCGCCGCGGUAAAACCAGCACCUCAAGUGGUCAGGAGGAUUAUUGGGCGUAAAGCAUCCGUAGCCGGCUCUGUAAGUCUUCGGUUAAAUCUAUAUGCUCAACAUAUAGGCUGCCGGGAAUACAGCAAAGCUAGGAAGUGGGAGAGGUAGACGGUACUCCGUAGGAAGGGGUAAAAUCCUUUGAUCUAUGGAUGACCACCUGUGGCGAAGGCGGUCUACCAGAACACGUUCGACGGUGAGGGAUGAAAGCUGGGGGAGCAAACCGGAUUAGAUACCCGGGUAGUCCCAGCUGUAAACUAUGCAAACUCAGUGAUGCGUUGGCUUGCGGCCAGUGCAGUGCCGCAGGGAAGCCGUUAAGUUUGCCGCCUGGGAAGUACGUACGCAAGUAUGAAACUUAAAGGAAUUGGCGGGGGAGCACCACAAGGGGUGAAGCCUGCGGUUCAAUUGGAGUCAACGCCAGAAAUCUUACCCGGAGAGACAGCAGAAUGAAGGUCAAGCUGAAGAC
rnacentral:rRNA from 1 species